CUCCGGUCCAGUAGGUGGCGGUAAAACACUUAUACACACAAACCUGCCGCCAACCGCUGAUAUUCACGACAUGAAGAAGCAGCUCUAGCGACAGUCAUUUGGUUGCUCUCUGCUUCAGACGCAACACCACUUAUGAAAACGAUCACCUUCAACACCACUUGGAGACCACACUAGGCUUGGUCCAAAAAAGGUCUUCAAACAAGUGAAGCCUCUCCUCGACUGGACUUCAAUAAGGUACUGGUCCCACAGACGUCAUCUGCCUUAUGGCCAUGUUAUGACUUUUUCUUCUGUUUUUGUUGUAAUGUGACUUUUUUUUUUUUUUUCCAAAGCUUAAUAUUAUCCUAUAUUUGCUCUAUGUAAAAAAUAAAUAAAUAAAUAAAACUCUGCAUCUUCA